rnacentral:lncRNA from 1 species
GUUGCUGUGAGAAAUUCACAGUUAAUCACAUUUUUAUUCUCCUUGUAAUGUGUCAUUUCCUCUGGCUGCUGUCGAGCUUUCUUUAUUUCCUUUGGUUUUCACAGUUUGAUUAUGAUGGUUUUAUUUUAAUUUAUCCUGUUUAAUGUUCCCUGAGCUCCUGAGCAUCUGGAAAUUUAUGUCUUUUGCUGAAUUGGGGAGUUUUUUGUAAUUACUUUUUCAAGUUUUGUUUUCUGUACCAAUGUCUCCUCUUCUUUUAGGCUCCAAUCACACACACAUUCGACCUUCUUAUAUUGUCCCAGAGGUCCUGAGGCUCUGUUCACUUUUUCAACAGUUUCUGUCUGUUUUUUAGAUCAGAUAACUUCUAUUUAUCUAUCCUCAAGUUAAUGACAUAUUUUUUUCCUGUCAUCUCUACUUUUUUGAAGAUGGACUCCAAUUAUUUCAACCUCGCUAGUGAAUUUUUAUUUUGGAUAGUGUAUUCUUAUUCUAAAAUCCCAUUUGGUUCUCUUGCUAUGGGUUCUGUGUCCUUGUUAAGAAAUUCCCAUUUGUUUCAAGAAUGUUCAGUUUUCCCUCACAUAAUGCUUUCAGGUGUCUAUCCGACAAUUCCGACAUCUGGGUCAUCUUAGGGUUGGCAUCUGUUGAUUGUCUCUUCCCUUUGAGAAUGGGUCAUACUUUCUUGGUUCUUGGUAUGUGGGGCAAUUAGAGAUGAUAAGGACACUUUGGAUAUUAAGUCAUGAAGCUCUGGGUCCUGUUAAAAUCCUCCAGAGAACAUGGAGCUUUUGGUUUUAGCAGGCAGUCAUGUCAAUUAGGUUUACACUGCAAAUUCUGUCUUACUCUCUGUGCCUGGUGGUUCCAGUCCCCAUAUCAUUUUCAUAGCCUUUGCUGUGCUUUUGGAGGCUGUCUGCUCUUCAUAUAUUGCUCAGGAGUAGUGAUUUAUAUGGCUCACUUUUCAAAGCCUUUGCUGUGCUUCUGGGGUAUGUUCUAGACAUGCAUACUUGGCCGUGUGCUCAGGAUUUGCGCCAGCUCACAUAUAGAAAUGUAUACCCUUACCUAGCUUCCUUCUAUGCUAACAUCUUACUUAACCAUGGUACCUUAGUCGAAACUAAGAAAUUGACAUUAAUACACUACUAUUAACCAAACUCUAAACUUUAUUGGAAUUUCCUGUUUUUCCAUUACUGUCUUUUUUCUGUUCCAGGAUCCAAUCCAAGGUAAUCAGAGUAAUUACCAAUUAAUUAAUUGGAUUAAUUGGUAAUCCACCUUACAUUUAGUCAUCAUGACUUCUUAAUCUCCACCAAACGGUGAUAGUUCCUAGUCUUUCUUUGACUUAGUGACCUUGACACAAUUGAAGAGUAGUUAGGUAUUUUAUAGAAUGGCCCUCAAUUUGGGUUUAUCUGGUGUGUUCUCAUUAAUAAGCUGAGAUUAUAGAGUUUUGGGAAAAGAUCACAGGGAAGUGCUCUUCUCAUCCCAUGAUAUCAGCUGGCACACAGUAUCAGCAUGAUUUAUCACUAGUGAUGAUAAUCCUGAUCCCUCUUUUAAGGUACUAUUUGCCACGUUUCUCCACUGUAAUGUUACUGUAUUUCUCCUUCCAUGAAUAUUCAUGAGUCUCUAUAUCCAGCCCAUACCCAAGGGGAGGGGAAUUAAAUACCAUUUCCUAAAAGGCAGGGUAUCAAACAAUUUGUGAUCAUAUGUUAGAACCCCACCACAAUAAUUAAUGAAUUUGGGAAGCAACACUUUGAGGCUGUAUUUCCUCUUAAAUUUUCUCCCACUAAUUUUAGCAUUUAUCAAUGUAUCCUGCCUACAGCAAUUAUUACCAUGGUAUUCUAAUGAUGUCUCUUUUACUCAUUCCUUCUACAUUUAUUCAUUGGAAUUCUUCUAUCCCUUCUUUCUCGCUUUUUCUUUCCUCUUUUUUUCUUUCUUUCUUUCUUUCUUUUCAUCAUCUCAGAAUGGAAUCAUGGAUAUUUAUUUUGUUCUUUAGGUUAUAAUUCAAUGUUAUUAUUAUUUACUGGCUCAGAUCGUUCUAGCUUUGGCUCUUGAGAGUUUUUUCAAGUGGGCACCUAUAUCCUUUUGACAUGGCUCCUCCAUCCUUUCUUUUCAUCCCCCUCCUUUAGAAUCAGCCAUUUUUCCAAGUAGCCUUGGGUUCUUUUAUAGGAGAAAGGUAUUUAGAAAGUAAGAUCUGGCAUUAGCCAUGUGGCUACUGGGAUGUCACUGUUUCUAGGCUCUCUCAAAAGACAGAACUAGGAAUUACAUGUGUGUCUACCAACCCAUAUGUGCUCAUAGAGUUUAUUUCAGCUCUCCCCUGUAAGAAACCUCCAUGAGGUGCCACUGUCCACCUUGUCCUGCAGCUGUGUACACAGUGCAUGUUCUCUAUCAUCCCAUGAGCUCUCAGAGAGCAGCGUUCAUGCCUGAGGCAAUUUUAUAUCCACUCUGGUGCCUCGCACAGGAGAGGAACCUGGUGCAUAUUCAUUGGUUGCAUAAAUGAGUUGUGGGAUUCACAGGCUUUGUGAUUUAUCCUUUUUUUUUUUUUUCUUAAAUGGUAAGAGCCACACAAGUGUUGGGUUGAAGAAUGAUAUCUGAAGUUACAAAUAUAAAAAAGUUCUGCCAUUUGAGGGGCAAUCACACUCGUACGGAACGACCCAGUCCUUUACAAUGCUGGAAACAGGGAAGGUUCCUACCUUGUUAUUGAAACAGCUAUUGUUUGGAGAACUCUGAUUGGCUGCCUGGCAGGGGACAAGCUGUGCUUCCGUGUGCCAUUCCCGUAUUUAGCUCUCCCACAGAUGCCCAAGGCUAGUGCUUCAUCUGCCCAACACCCACCCCCCAAACCUGCCCCCCCACCCCCACCUCAGAUCCUGAUUAGUCAGUCCCUCAAAUGAGAACAAAUAUUUUGUGCUUUCACCAGUCUGCUCCUUCUGUGCUUCCCAGACUGUGGCCAUGGUUUCAUAAUGCAGGAAGUCUCUCUACCUGUCAGCUCGGUUUUCUCUUUGCAGGCCUAACAGGUUUUAGCUGCUGGUUGUCUCUAAGGCCUUUGGAUGAGACUCUAGACUCUGUUUCUGGUUGUGAUGACCGCAAUUCUUCUGGGCACCAGCACCUGCUCCUGCCUUCUCCUGACCCUGACUUGAUGUCAGGAGGGCAGACAGUCAGUAAGCAAAUGCUCAGCCUUAGAGGGACUGUGGCAAGGUGCAGCUGGGACCACUGGUGCCCAGCUGGCAGCUGGGAGAAGGUGGCCCCCCUCCCCGACUCCAGACUGUGGCUUUCCCCUCUUGCUGGACUAUCUCCUGCUCCUAAGAGGCAAAGCAACCUGUGUUCAGCCCCCCAGCUUGGGCACCAGAGCCUGCAGCCCAGAGUCAGCACUGUUUGAUCUGCCUGCACCUGGCUCCGCAUAGCCAGGCGGGCAGAGCGGCUCCUUGAGAGGGAGGUGGAGGCAGCUCAGAUUCACAUGGGUUGCUAGGACCAACAGCUUGGUAUGUGCUCUGGCUGUUUGCUAUAGCGAUGUCUGUGAGAAGCCAAAGAGGGGAACUGAGAGUAAGAAUGGGCCUUGGCAGACAGGGGUCAGAUGCAACCAGGAGAUGGGAAGAGGCGAGAGCAUCUUCCCAGGACCUGGGGGCCAGCAGGAGCGAGUCCCGCCUUGAUGAUCAGCGAUGACAUGGCAUCUUUGUUGCUCAUGUGUGUGCUCUCUCUCUCCCUCUCUCUUCCACUCUGAAAUCUGCAAUACAGAGUGAGAGAGCAGCACGCUAUUCAUGCCCUGAAUGUCACCAUUGGAAACAGAAAAGGUUCCUUCGACAAUCACCUGCCUGUCUGAGGGUCACAGCUGAAGGAUCCCUGUGGAACAGCUGGCCGGCCUCUCCAUCCCCACCCCAACAAAUCCCACGGGCUGUUUCUCUUAGGAGCUCUGCAAAGGACUGGCGCACAUUUGCUUCUUGCACACCCUGGCCUCCUUGUCCCCAGGGCCCUGCCCAUCUGUUCCAUCCGAGCUCCUGGGAAGCUAGCAGACACAGAGAGCCUGCCCCGGGGGCAGGGCCGGUGCUGUGUGUGAGCACUUAACUCGCUUUAAUGGCUUUAGCAAGCUUUCUUCUGCCUUCAGAUAGGAAGCCAUUCUGCAGUAUUAAUUUUCUUUGCAUAAAUUUCUCCCUGGGCCUGGCUCACUAGCUUUUGUCCUGAGAAUACAGGCAGGCAGCAUCAGACCUCCACCUGGACUUAGCAACCCCCUCAAUGCCAGCAGGAGAUGAUUUUCUAAGGCAAAUUAACUUGAAGAAAUUUCCCUGAUACAGAGGAUCCCAGGAACCACUGGGAAAGGCCUGAUGGCCCUGGUGGCAGCCACGGUGACCCUGGAUUCCAGGAAAAGAGAAGACAGCAAUACCUCAGGGAGCAUCUCUGAGUGAAUGAAUCUUCUAGCAGAGAAAAAAUAUGUUCUAGCAAAUGGAAAGCUCUAAAAAUAUUACCCGUCUUAAGUGGAUAGACAGGCAUGUAUCUUUAUUUCUUGUAAACAGCAGUCAUUGAACCUAAUUAUUUUUUUUCUUUCUUGAGAGGUUCAUUAUCAUAGGCUGCUAACUCUGUGGAGUAGUCAGUGUCAUUUGAGACCUGUGGCACUGCUCACCCCUUGCCUGAAUGAUCCUAGACUCUAAGUCUCUGAAAUUCGCUUUCUCCCCCCCCAACCACCCCGCCACUGCUGUUGUCUUAAUUGUUAGGCUAUGUCAUCUGUUAGCGAUACCAGUGCACCUGUUUCUUGAAUCGCUCCUCCUAAUUUGUAGCUUUUGGUCUGUUGUGAGCUAGCAAACUGGAUUUAUAAACUUGUUGUGUUAUGUUUGAAGUUAAAAAUAAUUAGAUAAACCCUAAGGAACACACACGCAACUAUUGGAAUUAUUAAACAAGUUCAGCAAGUUGACAUGAUAGAAAAAUCAAUUAUAUGUCUAUAGAUGAGCAAUGAAUGAUUGAAAAAGAAAAAAAACAAUCCCAUUCACAAUAUCAUUAAAAAGAAUAAAAUACUUAGGAAUGCAUUAAUUAACAAAUGUGUAAAAUGAUACACUGAAAAUUAUAAAACACUGCUGAGGGGAAUUAGAGACAAUUCAGCCUAAGUAAAUGGAGAGGCAUUUCACAUUUAUGAAUUAGAAGAUGGUAAUAUAAAGAUGGCAAUUCUUCCCACAUUGACCUAUAAUUUCUAUAAAAACGUCAACUUUUUUUUAUGGAAAGUGGCAGGCUUUUUCUAAAAUUUGGGUGAAAGUAAAACCCAGAAU